AACUAUAUAAUUCAAAUGAUGCAAGUUAAUCUCAGGAUUCGACUAAAUGGAAAGCAAACCUAGUCUACCUAAUCUUCAUUUCAAGUAAUUUAGGCCACUUUAGGAUAAAUAAGAGAAGAGCAAAUGAUUAAGGCCACUUGAUUUCAAGCCAAUUCAUUCACUGUAUUAUGAACACAGUUUGCAAAUAUUAAAUGAAAGAGCAAAGGGUUGGUUCUAUAGACCAGCACCUAGAGUUAUAGUUUUUAAGUUUUAAUUGAAUAGUUUAUAGUUUGAAAAUUGUACCUCAUAAAGGUGAGAUAAGAGAGUGCCAGUGGUCUUUUGGGCAACCAAACAACAAGCCGUAAACGCUAAUGUCCCAAAACCUAAAUUCAAAUGAAACCCCAAAAAUGAAAAUGAAACGCAUUCAUCAAAAGCUAAAUUACAAACAAUCUUGAACAAACACUCAACCCAAAUUUUAUCAAACAAUGAAGAAGAUUUGGAAAACAACCGAUUCAGAGAAACCCAUGGACAAUCUUACCUGAAUGAGAUGAGAAGAUAUUGUCCCAACAAAGUCUAAUUUUUCGAUUUGGGGAUGACUAAUUAGAAACAAAAUAAAAAAUCGCAAAUUGAAAACAGAACCCAAGCUUGAAAUUCAAGGAUUUGAAAGGAGUUAAGAAGUUGAGUGAAACAGACCCGGUACCGAAGUUGAGAGCAUCAUUCAGAUCGAUUCAAAGGGUGUGGGUGUGUGCCUACACAUUCCAGAGGCAUUCCCUGCAUCUCCCUCUUCAGAACAACACAAACGCCCAUUACCAAACCCAUUUAUUGCUUUCUUGUAUCCCAAAUCUUAGCUAUCUCUCCUGAAAUCCCAAAUGAGUGAAC